rnacentral:rRNA from 1 species
AACGAACGCUGGCGGCAUGCCUAACACAUGCAAGUCGAACGAGACCUUCGGGUCUAGUGGCGCACGGGCGCGUAACGCGUGGGAACCUGCCCUUAGGUUCGGAAUAACUCCCCGAAAGGGGUGCUAAUACCGGAUAAUGUCUUCGGACCAAAGAUUUAUCGCCUUUGGAUGGGCCCGCGUUGGAUUAGCUAGUUGGUAGGGUAAAAGCCUACCAAGGCGACGAUCCAUAGCUGGUCUGAGAGGAUGAUCAGCCACACUGGGACUGAGACACGGCCCAGACUCCCACGGGAGGCAGCAGUGGGGAAUAUUGGACAAUGGGCGAAAGCCUGAUCCAGCAAUGCCGCGUGAGUGAUGAAGGCCUUAGGGUUGUAAAGCUCUUUUACCCGGGAUGAUAAUGACAGUACCGGGAGAAUAAGCUCCGGCUAACUCCGUG